rnacentral:rRNA from 1 species
UCUAGCAUUUCUAGUAUUAGAGGCACUGCUGCCCAGUGACAUAUGUUCAACGGCCGCGGUACCCUGACCGUGCAAAGGUAGCAUAAUCACUUGUUCUCUAAAUAGGGACUUGUAUGAAUGGCCACACGAGGGUUUAACUGUCUCUUACUUUUAAUCAGUGAAAUUGACCUAUCCGUGAAGAGGCGGAUAUACAUAAAUAAGACGAGAAGACCCUAUGGAGCUUUAAUUUAAUGAUACAAACUAGAUUUGUAAAAACCAACAGGCAUUAUUUACCGGUCAAUGUAUUAUAAAUUUCGGUUGGGGCGACCUCGGAGUAAAAUAGAACCUCCGAAAAACAUAUACCAAGACCUUACCAGUCUAAGUAAGCAAGCACCUAUUGACCCAAUAAUAAUUUGAUCAACGGACCAAGUUACCCUAGGGAUAACAGCGCAAUCCUAUUUUAGAGUCCAUAUCGAUAAUAGGGUUUACGACCUCGAUGUUGGAUCAAGACAUCCUAAUGGUGCAGAAGCUAUUAAGGGUUCGUUUGUUC